UACGGGGGGGGCAAGCGUUGUUCGGAAUUACUGGGCGUAAAGGGCUCGUAGGCGGCCAACUAAGUCGGAUGUGAAAUCCCCAGGCUUAACCUGGGAACUGCAUCCGAUACUGGAUGGCUUGAGAUUGGGAGAGGGAUGCGGAAUUCCAGGUGUAGCGGUGAAAUGCGUAGAUAUCUGGAGGAACACCAAUUGCGAAGGCAGCUCGCUGGGACGUUACUGACGCUGAGACGCGAAAGCGUGGGGAGCAAACAGG
rnacentral:rRNA from 1 species